rnacentral:tRNA from 1 species
AAGAAAUUUAGAUUAAAAAUAGCUUCUAACUAAUUUUUAGAGUGGUUAAAUUCCAUUCAUUUCUUA